UUUGAAAAUUGAACUAGAAGC
rnacentral:miRNA from 1 species